GCCGCGUCGACGAACCAGCCAAGUAGCGUAAAGGAUGACUGCCCUAUGGGUUGUAAACUUCUUUUAUACGGGAAUAACCGGUUCCACGUGUGGAACUCUGCAUGUACCGUAUGAAUAAGCAUCGGCUAACUCCGUGCCAGCAGCCGCGGUAAUACGGAGGAUGCGAGCGUUAUCCGGAUUUAUUGGGUUUAAAGGGAGCGUAGGUGGGAAGCUAAGUCAGUUGUGAAAGUUUGCGGUUCAACCGUAAAAUUGCAGUUGAAACUGGUUUUCUUGAGUACAGCAGAGGUACGCGGAAUUCGUGGUGUAGCGGUGAAAUGCUUAGAUAUCACGAAGAACUCCGAUUGCGAAGGCAGCGUACUGGACUGGAACUGACACUGAUGCUCGAAAGUGUGGGUAUCAAACAGGAUUAGAUACCCUGGUAGUCCACGCCGUAAACGAUGAGUGCUAGGUGUUGGAUCCUUUCCGGGAUUCAGUGCCGCAGCUAACGCAUUAAGCACUCCGCCUGGGGAGUACGGCCGCAAGGUUAAACUCAAAUGAAUUGACGGAGUUCGGG
rnacentral:rRNA from 1 species